rnacentral:lncRNA from 1 species
UGUUUCUGUUUUAGGCCUGACCAUAAAGCCCAAAAAUAGAUAUUCCCCCAACAAGUAUUGCUCCACAUUGCUGAGGUCAUCAAUGCCCAUUUUUCUUGCACAGCAGUCCGGAUUCUCUGCAUUUGCCCACAUGCACCACCAUUCCACGACCGCACCAUGGACAACAAGCCUGCGCCCCGUAAAUCCCUGGUGCCCCAAAUAACCCUGACUGGGUCCCCACUGGCUGCUGAGCUCUGCUCCCCGGUCAUCAGGAAGAGACCCAUCCACAUUCCCCCCAUCCAGAAGACGGGAGGACUCCGGCCUCCAGGCAGCCCCACCUUGCCCGUAUCUGGGCUUCCGGUGAGAACAACACAACCACCUGUCCAAUCAGACAAGGCGAACAAGGACCGCCCUUCACCGCGACCCAUUCAAAAAGCCUGGACAAGCCCCUCCCUUGAGGUGUGGAACAACAAAUGGCCAACCGAAAACCAAAGGCUGAGACUGAGCCCAACUCCUCCUGGGGAACGUCAGGCCCGGUCGAUCCCGAUCUCCAACAGCCAGGAGUUGAACUCUGCACCCACAGGUCACAGUACGCUGAGUCAGACUAAUAACUCACCAGACCCAAGUAGCGCUGAUACCACAUAUGCACAUGGUUCAGGGUCUACAGACAGACCUACCUGCCAGAGACAACUGUCCAGGGGCAAGUGUCCACCAGUGAUCUAUCAAAAAAAGCAAAAAUCCCCGGACCCCGUUCUUCUUCAAGCCCGCCUCAGCUUGACCAAAACUGGAAGGAUAGCAGACUGUAGCUCCAGGUUUUUUCAUGGUAGGGAGCCAUUGAACAGGGAGCGGGGAACAAAGAGAGGCCAUAAAGAUAACGCCGCAACAGUAGAGGAGAAGGACCUACAGGUAAUUCAGUCGCCGGCAUCUCAUCCCAGACCAUCGAGAACUCACGUCUCCAUAUCAAAGCUUCAGAAAGGCUCUAUCCAGGCCACAGAUAAAAUCCCAGAAACCAAACUGCCCAGAUGGCUUCCAGUGUUGCUGCCACCACCUGAGGCAGGUGAAGGGACGAAGCGCCUCUCAGGUGGUCAGUUAGGCGAUUUCCUCAAAAGGACGCCAGCAUGCCUGCCUCACACUCAGCCGUGUGAAGCCCCUUCCCCACUUUCGGCUACAGGCUCCUCAGAAUCCCCAUUCAGGGGACUGGGGGACUGCGUGGACACUGGACACUGGAGCUGUUCUGAGGGCGGAAGUUCAGACGACAUUUCCCUGCAGUCGGACCUCCUGGCAACUGGUCACUGUAAAUGCACUACGGGUUUGCCGGAACGUUCCACGGACGAAUGGACGGGUCUGAUCCCCUUGUCCCCGCACAGCCAUCACCAGCUGAGUCCAGGUCUGGCCCGUACCAGUAGACCGUCUCACAGCGUCCCCAAACAGCCAUUUCGGCCGGUGAUGAGUGUGCUGGACCACCCACUGCCAAAGCCAUCUGUUUCCCGGGAGACUGUGAAACUACACGGACAUUCUGGGGUCCGGGUGACAAUGAGUGAGUAGAACAUUUUUAUAAAGUUUAUAUACACACUAUUGUAAUAUAAUGUUAUAUAAGUUUAUAACAUUUUCAACUAGUGCAGAUUUGUGUUGGCACUGGAUUAGGCUCGUCGUCUAAAUGAAAUGG